AGGGGGUUCGCCAAGUCUGGUUUAAGGCACCGGGUUUUGAUCCCGACACGCCAAGGUUCAAAUCCUUGACCCCCUU
rnacentral:tRNA from 1 species